rnacentral:rRNA from 1 species
AUGGACUCGCGGCUUAUCAGCUUGUUGGUGGGGUAGUGGCUUACCAAGGCUUUGACGGGUAGCCGGCCUGAGAGGGUGACCGGCCACAUUGGGACUGAGAUACGGCCCAGACUCCUACGGGAGGCAGCAGUGGGGAAUAUUGCACAAUGGGUGAAGCCUGAUGCAGCAACGCCGUGUGCGGGAUGACGGCCUUCGGGUUGUAAACCGCUUUCGCUCAUGACGAAGCUUCGUGUGACGGUAGUGGGUAAAGAAGCACCGGCUAACUACGUG